rnacentral:rRNA from 1 species
UGGGGAAUUUUGGACAAUGGGCGAAAGCCUGAUCCAGCAAUGCCGCGUGUGUGAAGAAGGCCUUCGGGUUGUAAAGCACUUUUGUCCGGAAAGAAAUCCUCUGGGUUAAUACCUCGGGGGGAUGACGGUACCGGAAGAAUAAGCACCGGCUAACUACGUGCCAGCAGCCGCGGUAAUACGUAGGGUGCAAGCGUUAAUCGGAAUUACUGGGCGUAAAGCGUGCGCAGGCGGUUUUGUAAGACGGAUGUGAAAUCCCCGGGCUUAACCUGGGAACUGCAUUCGUGACUGCAAGGCUAGAGUAUGGCAGAGGGGGGUAGAAUUCCACGUGUAGCAGUGAAAUGCGUAGAGAUGUGGAGGAAUACCGAUGGCGAAGGCAGCCCCCUGGGCCAAUACUGACGCUCAUGCACGAAAGCGUGGGGAGCAAACAGGAUUAGAUACCCUGGUAGUCCACGCCCUAAACGAUGUCAACUAGUUGUCGGGGAUUCAUUUCCUUAGUAACGUAGCUAACGCGUGAAGUUGACCGCCU